UACGUAGGGCGCAAGCGUUGUCCGGAAUUAUUGGGCGUAAAGAGCUCGUAGGCGGUCUGUCGCGUCGGAUGUGAAAGCCCGGGGCUUAACCCCGGGUCUGCAUUCGAUACGGGCAGGCUAGAGUUCGGUAGGGGAGACUGGAAUUCCUGGUGUAGCGGUGAAAUGCGCAGAUAUCAGGAGGGACACCGAUGGCGAAGGCAGGUCUCUGGGCCGAUACUGACGCUGAGGAGCGAAAGCGUGGGGAGCAAACAGG
rnacentral:rRNA from 1 species